rnacentral:rRNA from 2 species
ACUGGAGGAAGGUGGGGAUGACGUCAAGUCAUCAUGGCCCUUACGACCAGGGCUACACACGUGCUACAAUGGCGCAUACAAAGAGAAGCGACCUCGCGAGAGCAAGCGGACCUCAUAAAGUGCGUCGUAGUCCGGAUUGGAGUCUGCAACUCGACUCCAUGAAGUCGGAAUCGCUAGUAAUCGUGGAUCAGAAUGCCACGGUGAAUACGUUCCCGGGCCUUGUACACACCGCCCGUCACACCAUGGGAGUGGGUUGCAAAAGAAGUAGGUAGCUUAACCUUCGGGAGGGCGCUUACCACUUUGUGAUUCAUGACUGGGGUGAAGUCGUAACAAGGUAACCGUAGGGGAACCUGCGGUUGGAUCACCUCCUUA